rnacentral:lncRNA from 1 species
CGGCUUGUAUUUAAAAGCUAAUCUGGAAGGAAGAAUUUGUUUAACAUUGUAAGCCAUCCCAGUCUUAAAACAAUAUGGAUGUGUACUAAGACCAAAAGCCAAAGAAAAGAAAAAAAACCAAAGGAAUUCAAAACCCUCCAAAUGUAAUCGUACUGAUUCUCAGCCUGAACACAAGCUUCCUUUAAGGGCACAGAGGAGAAGAAAAUGUAGCAAUAUUGGCUGAAUGCUUUCUGGACAGUUUGCACUAUUACUAAGCUGGGACACAUCAUUCUCUUGUACUUGAGGAUUCACACACUCCACUGCGGCUGUUUUAUUUCACUCCUCGCUCAGCACAAAGUACAAUGAAAGCCAGGAGAGGAGACUUGAGAUCUGCACACUGUCAGUGGUACAUAGUUCUGGCUGUUGUUUCCGUUUGAUGCCUUCAGUUUUAUCCGAGGAUUAUACAGGAU